GUACACGCUGUGACUAGCAUAUCAAUAAGCGGAGGAAAAGAAACUAACAAGGAUUCCCCUAGUAACGGCGAGUGAAGCGGGAAGAGCUCAAAUUUGAAAUCUUAAAGGGUUUCCCUUUACGAAUUGUAGUUUAAAGAAGUGUUUUCUGUUGAGGUUUUGGUAAAAGUUCUUUGGAAUAGGACAUCAUAGAGGGUGAGAAUCCCGUAUUUGACCUUUACUUUCAACUUUGUGAUACACUUUCAAAGAGUCGGAUUGUUUGGGAAUGCAGUCCAAAAUGGGUGGUAAAUUUCAUCUAAAGCUAAAUAUUGGCGAGAGACCGAUAGCGAACAAGUACCGUGAGGGAAAGAUGAAAAGAACUUUGAAAAGAGAGUUAAACAGUACGUGAAAUUGUCAAAAGGGAAGCGUUUGACACCAGUGUUGUUUUUCUGAAAAUCAAUUAAAGAACUGUUUAUGCUAAGUUGUUUAGACUUUAUCAGCUAACUGUUUAGUUUUGAGCUUUUCUUUAAUGCACUUUUCAGUUAACAAGUCAACAUCAAUUUCUUUUGCUGUAAAAAAGCUUGAGGAAGGUGGCUUGAGAUUCGUCUUAAGUGUUUAUAGCCUCUUGCCUAUGCGGUCGGAGAGAUUGAGGUCUGCAGCGUAGAUCCUUCGGGGCUAAAUGCAUUUGUGCUAAGUUAUAGCAUUUCAUAGACAACUUGUUGACUAUGAUUUGUCUUGUAGCUUACUCGCUUAUGUUAUUUUACCUACGCUUAGGAUGUUGACGAGACUGUCGAUCUC
rnacentral:rRNA from 1 species